CUCAGAGAAAGCAUUGCCACCCCAUCUGCCACAGCAGCAUUUGUAUAAAUAUAAAUGUUGUGGUCUGGAUCGUUUUCGAUUCCCAGAUUGGAGGUGUCUUUUGUCUUUUCUGGUGUUUGCCGUCGUAAAGGUAAAUGAAAAGAUAUGGACUGAAUGAAGGAGGUAAUCAGGAAGGCACUACCCAUGCUUCAGGAGAGGGAUCAUAACAAUUUCAUAGCACAUUUGGCUGGUAUUGGUGUGCAGACGGACAGCAAUCUCCAGUUUGUUACCUUAGAAGACAUAAAAGAUAUUAUUCCACUUAUUGCUGGCCGAAGACUCAUACACUAUCUCAAGAACAGAGGUCAUAAUCCUGAAAGACAUAGACAGUGCUGGUAGAGGAGAUAUUGACUAUGGUGUUGCAUCUAUGAUUACCACAAUGGCGUACUUCAGAGAGAGGGAGGAUUCACUCUUUCUUCUGGCUGAUUUGCUGCACUUAGGUUACUGCAACUCCAACAGAUGUAGAAAGAAGCUUCUCUGUUCCCAGCACCCCAAGGCUGAUUGCACUUGGAGAUUCUGUUCUCCAAGCAAAAACAUGGAUGCUAACUAUGGAGGGCAGAGUCAUUCAUCCAGCCACAAGAGCUAACGGAUUUUUCAUCAGCAUUAGCUGACCUGUUUGGCUGCUACUAUGUAUUCAAUGUGCAGUACCAGGAAGAGGCGGCCAGUACACUGGAGUUUAUUCAGAGGUUCAUUCUGAGAAUCAACCCUGAUGGCACCAAAUGCCAAUCAAAGUCACACAUCAGCCAAAAAUCUGGAAAGAGGGUGCAAAGAAAAUCGUCAGUCUGAAUCUCCCCGUGGC